UUAGCAAUUACUAGACAAUAGUGAAAGCUUCUAUUUGGGACUACCUGUUUUCAAGCGGGAGGAAGAGGGUAGCAAUAACAGGUCCGUGAUGUCCUUUAGAUGCUCUGGGCUGCACGCGUGCUACAAUGUGAAUCACAAAGGAUUAAUAAUUCGAAAGAAUGCAUCACUUCUUCAAAGAUUCACGUAGCUGGGAUUGACAUUUGGAAUGAUUGUCAUGAACCAGGAAUCCCUUGUAAAUGUAUGUCAACACCGUACGUUGAAUACGUCCCUGCCCUUUGUACACACCGCCCGUCGCUCCUACCGAUUGGACGUUUUGGUGAAAAUACUGGACUUAAAAGGAAGGUAUUUAAAUCAGCUCGUCUAGAGGAAGGAGAAGUCGUAACAAGGUAACGGUAGGUGAACCUGCCGUUGGAUCAGU
rnacentral:rRNA from 1 species